UACAGAGGGUGCAAGCGCUAAUCGGAAUUACUGGGCGUAAAGGGUGCGUAGGUGGUUGAAUAAGUUAGGUGUGAAAGUCCUGGGCUUAACCUGGGGAUUGCGCCUAAUACUGUUUAGCUAGAGUACUGUAGAGGAAGGUGGAAUUUCCAGUGUAGCGGUGAAAUGCGUAGAUAUUGGAAGGAACAUCAGUGGCGAAGGCGACUUUCUGGACAGAUACUGACACUGAGGCACGAAAGCGUGGGGAGCAAACAGG
rnacentral:rRNA from 1 species